rnacentral:sRNA from 1 species
AUGCAAAGCGAACAUCUCCGCGUGCCGUCCACAUCCGCCCGACGACUGCUCGCUCUGUUUUGUUAGCC